rnacentral:misc_RNA from 1 species
CCGUGUAGAUUUACAUUGGCAACAUUGAGUUUCUAGCAAUUUUCCACUUCGUAUUGAAUUAUUUUAGUUUAAGCGAGUAGAAGUAUCGUCGACAAAUUCUUGAAAAGGCUGCGGCCUUCGGAAGCCUGUUUAUUAAUUUUUUAGCUGUUGUAUACGUUUUUACAACUAGUUUGAAAAAAUGACUCGUGGAAAUCAACGUGACCUCGCCAGGGCAAAAAACCAAAAGAAGCAGCAAGAGCAGGGCAGGGGCAAGAAGAACGACGGCCUAACGGUAGAACAAAGAAAAUUUAGAUACCUAAACCCAAGCAGCGAAGAUAAGGCGGAUGGGAAUAUAUUUCAAGUGCAUGUCACUUUGGAAAACAAUUACUAAACGUUUGGUGCUUGAGAUUAUUUGUGCUGAAAGGAACGAAAAACACAAUCUAAACUACGCCAUUAGAAUGCUUAUCAAUAAAAUAUGCACGGGGACCAAAGCAGAAAAAAAUUGAUAUUAUUAAUUGGUGUUAAGUGUCCAUUCUUUCAGUCUGUCAUUCUUCUUUGUUUUUUACUAUCUUGUUAAUUGUUAAACUCAAUUGGUGGACUCACAACUAGUCCACCCUGUAUACUUUUUGAUAAAGAAAUUGCAAAGGCUGUAUGUUCUGUAAGUCCAAAUUUAUUUGUGAGAAUGAACAGUGAGAACAAUUGAUCAAUUUAGGGUUUUACUAAACUUUAACAGUCAAUAUUUCUUUAAUGAAGCAUUCUUCCAAUAGAGUUUAUGGCAUAUUUUAUUACACACUAGGCACAUAAAAAAUCUGCUCUGAGAGACUAGACCACCUUGGAUAUCGCGUGAUUCAUUAUUGGUGUCAGACUUAUAGAGCUGUUUGUAAAUUAUAAAUAAAUUAGUUAUUUAAUGUUGAGAAACAAAACUCGAAAGUACAUAUUCAAUAGCUAAUAUUCUCGAGAAACCGCGUUUUAACAAUCAGUGUGUAAUGUGUAAAUGAUAAUAAGCAACAAAAGUUAAUAGAUUAUGCACUUUUCAUUUCACUUUCAAAUUUAUAAAUGUUAACAUUCAAUGUUAGUUUUUAUGGAACUCGAGUUGAGUGGCCAAAUCAUCAUACAUCAGUAUCCCGGAAAUAGGAUGUGGCCGCAAUUAUUCAGAUGUAUAAGCUUGAAAUUCAAAUAUUUUCAUGUUGAGUAAUUACCAUUGUCCAGACGUACAUGCGAGAAUGUCGUAACACACUUUUUUCACUUUCAGAGAUGCAGAAGUAAUGCGUGAAAAACAGAAGAAAAAAGAAGAAGUAAAACAACCGUCAUGCAAAUAACACUUAACUUUAGUUUAAGACUUAAUUGAACUCUUUUUAUUAUAGAAACUACAAAGCAAAUUGUUACUACGAUUGUAUUUAGAUUUCGUUUGUAUAUCUUGGUUUCUGUCGCCGAUUGAAUACAUAUAUUGUUUUUGUAACCGAUUGAAUAUAUUGUUUCUUGAAUUAUUUCAUUUGUACGCCGUUAAAUGUAUAUGCGUUAUAGAAAUAGUAUAUUAACAAUUGUCCAUUUGUAAUAAAAAUAAAAUAAGCAAAUUUUUUGAAUUAAA